UACGAGUGCUCCAAGCGUUAUCCGGAAUCAUUGGGCGUAAAGGGUGUGUAGGUGGUUGUGUUAGUCUUCUGUCAAAUUCUUCGGCUUAACCGGGGGUCCGCAGAGGAAACGGCACAACUAGAGGAUGCGAGAGGUGAAUGGAACUCAUGGAGUAGGGGUGAAAUCCGUUGAUAUCAUGGGGAACACCGAAUGCGAAGGCAGUUCACUGGCGCACUCCUGACACUGAGACACGAAAGCGUAGGUAGCGAAUGGG
rnacentral:rRNA from 1 species